AUUGCUUCUUGGCCUUUUGACUAAGAUCAAGUGUAGUAUCUGUUCUUAUCAGUUAAUAAUAGAUGUAAUAUGUAUAACAAUAAUAGACAAAAA
ensembl:snRNA U2 U2 spliceosomal RNA